GACGAACGCUGGCGGCGUGCUUAACACAUGCAAGUCGUACGGUAAGGCCCUUUCGGGGGUACACGAGUGGCGAACGGGUGAGUAACACGUGCGUAACCUGCCCACAACUUUGGGAUAACGCUAGGAAACUGGUGCUAAUACUGGAUAUGUGCUCCUGCUGCAUGGUGGGGGUUGGAAAGCUCCGGCGGUUGUGGAUGGACUCGCGGCCUAUCAGCUUGUUGGUGGGGUAGUGGCCUACCAAGGCGGCGACGGGUAGCCGGCCUGGGAGGGUGACCGGCCACAUUGGGACUGAGAUACGGCCCAGACUCCUACGGGAGGCAGCAGUGGGGAAUAUUGCACAAUGGGCGCAAGCCUGAUGCAGCAACGCCGCGGGCGGGAUGACGGCCUUCGGGUUGUAAACCGCUUUCAGCAGGGACGAAGCUUUUUGUGACGGUACCUGCAGAAGAAGCACCGGCUAACUACGUG
rnacentral:rRNA from 1 species